rnacentral:rRNA from 1 species
CAGCAGCCACGGUAAUACGAAGGGGGCUAGCGUUGCUCGGAAUGACUGGGCGUAAAGGGCGCGUAGGCGGCGGCCAAAGUCAGGCGUGAAAUUCCCGGGCCCAACCUGGGGGCUGCGUUUGAUACUUGGUUGCUUGAGUGGGGAAGAGGGUCGUGGAAUUCCCAGUGUAGAGGUGAAAUUCGUAGAUAUUGGGAAGAACACCGGUGGCGAAGGCGGCGACCUGGUCCUUUACUGACGCUGAGGCGCCAAAGCGUGGGGAGCAAACAGGAUUAGAUACCCCUGUAGUCCCUGUCUCUUAUAC